GCAUCUGUCAAACGUAAAUAUUAUGACAAAGAUAAUCUGAAGAGGUGGCUCAAAGAAACUAUCUGAAAUGGAGAAACUUGGAGUGGGAGAGAAGGCAUCACUGGAAGAGAACCAAACCUGCACAAACCCAGGUGGACGUGAUGAUAAAGCCUCAGAUGGUCCCAGCAAUGGACAGCAGGUUCAGUCCACCCAGAGCCUGCAGAAAAAACACCGCUGUGACAAGUGCCUGAAACGUUUCAGAUGGAAGAAGKGUCUGAAAAUUCAUCAACGCAUUCACACAGGGGAGAAGUGCUUUCUCUGUGACCAGUGUGGAAAGGCUUUCAUUCACAAGAGUGAUUUUAACAGUCAUCUGCAAAGCCACACUGGUGAAAAGCCUUACAGCUG